GUGCCAGCAGCCGCGGUAAUACUUAGGGAGCGAGCGUUGUCCGGAUUUAUUGGGCGUAAAGCGCGCGUAGGCGGUUUGGUAAGCCGGGUGUGAAACCCUCGAGCUCAACUCGGGGCGGCCACUCGGAACUGUCAUGACUUGAGUCAGGUAGGGGAACACGGAAUUCCAGGCGUAGCGGUGAAAUGCUUAGAUAUCUGGAGGAACACCGGUGGCGAAGGCGGCAUCCUGGACCAACACUGACGCUGAGGAGCGAAAGCCAGGGGAGCAAACGGGAUUAGAUACCCUUGUAGUCC
rnacentral:rRNA from 1 species